UUUUCUAUUUUUCACUUUUUGUAAAUAGUAAGCAAUGAUUGCACUUUGGGAGGCCGGCAUAAUAAAAAGGGAUUAAUACAACGUUUUCCGACUAUGCCAGUGUUUUUCAUGUUGCACGGAGUUUUGACAUAGAACCCCGCGACAUAUGCACUCAGCUGCUGA